CUCGACUGCGACCCCAGGUCAGG
rnacentral:rRNA from 1 species